rnacentral:tRNA from 2 species
UAGAGUAGAGUGUUUAGGUAGCACGGAGAGUUUUGAGCUCUUUAGGUUAGGUUCAAUUCCUAUUAUUCUAG